GCUCCUUCAAGAGAACUCACUUCUGCUCCUAGCAGCCGGGAACACGCCUGAUUGCUGAUCCUUAGACACGCAGGGCCAGGGCCAGUCCAGGGGGAUUCACCUCUUUCGAAGCCAGAAGAGGGCAUCACAUCUCCUGGAGCUGGAGUUUCAGACAGCUGUGAGUCCCCACAUGGGUGCUGAAAAUGGAACCUGGGCCCUCUGGAAGAGCAGAAAGUGCCCUUAACUGAUGAAUCAUUCCCUCCAGCUCUUCAAUCAGGAUUUUAAGUUGCAGUCUUGAGUACACAGAAUGAACACGCUGCCUCAAGCACAGCCCCAAGACAAACUGGAAUGCAGGCUCAUGAAGACAGUGAUUGUGUUGUUGUCUGAUGAUACUUGAGGAUCACGUUCCUCUUGUUCCCCUGGUAACCUCCGACCUUGUAGUUCUGUGGCUCCUGAAUCUGUAUAGUCCUACUGGUUUUCAGGGGAGGGUUGGGCUGUCACAGUCCAUAGUCUGGGCAACAAUCACAUGGCCUAGGAGCUUUGAGAUGUCAGCUUUGUGGUUUCUCCUAUCUGGUCGGUAGAAGGAGUGUACCUAGCUCUCAGAAUUGUGAGGAUUACACAAGGUAACACAUGGGCAUUAUGCUGACUUCUGCCAUGAGAAAACAGAAAACUCAAUUUAAUAUGGAGUGAUGAGGAUAUUAAAAAGGAUUUAUUGUUAUGUGACUGGGUGCUUCGUCUUCAUGUAUGUUUAUGUACAAAGUGGCUGCAAUGCCAGAGGAGGCCAGAAGAGGGCACUGGAUCAUAUGGAACUGAAGUCAGGUAGUUGUGAGCCAGAAACCAAACCAGGAUCUUCUGCAAGAACAGCGAGUGCUCUAAACUGUCCAGCCAUUUCUCCUGCCCUGAGAAGGACAGUUUUGACUUGUAAAAUAAGUACAAAAGUACAGAACUGUGCCCUGGGUGCUCCCACAUUGGAUCCUGAGGGAAAAGGUGUGUGCUGUGCUGUGUGCUGAGGUGAGAUAAAAGGUGGGGAUUAUUAGCAAACAGAAGUGUUGAUGGCUUUGUCAAGAGCAGUCUUGGAAAAGCGGUGGGGCAAAUGCCUCAACAGAGUGGGCUCACGCAAGAUGGAUGAGGGGGAGCCCGGAGAGAUGGCUCGGUGGUUAACAGUAUGUACUGCUCUUCCAGAGUUUGAUUCCUAGCACCAUAUUAGAUGACUUGCAACGGCCUAUAACUCAUUUCCAGGGGGUCUGAUGCCUCUGGCCUCUUUGGGCACCUACACUCACAAAGAGUAGCAAUCUUAGGCUCUGGUCUAUCUGGUUGGUUAUUAUUGAAGAGAGAAGGCAAAAGCACCCUGGCCUAAGUACUGCCAUUUUGACCUUAGACUCCGUUACCUGCAGGAUGAAAUACAGUUCAAGUUCCCAAGCCCUAGGGAAGUUGAGAAUUCUCCAAUGGCUGACCAACCUCCUCUUAUAAAGAAUAGUCUUUAUGCAUCUUUAGUUCUCUAGAAAUGUUAUAACUGUUCCCCAAAAUAGAAAGAACAAAUGAAUCUGAUUGGUUGGACUGAAAGGCUUGCAUUAUAGAUUGAUUGACAAUGAUGGAACAUUCAAAGAAGCCCCUAAUCUCUAAAUCCUGAUUGGCUGAAAAUUGUAUCUGUAAUUUGGCAACAAGUGUUUGUGAUUUUUGUGCUUAUAAACCCACUUCUGGCCCUGCUUGGGGCUGUCAGGAGAAACAAGGCUCCCAAGUCCUGAAGCCCUGAUCAAUAUGCCACUUAUGUAUAAAUUAUUAAAAUCUUUGG